AGAGUUUGAUCAUGGCUCAGGAUGAACGCUAGCGGCAGGCUUAAUACAUGCAAGUCGUGGGGCAGCAGGUCCCGCAGCAAUGCGGGAUGCUGGCGACCGGCAAACGGGUGCGGAACACGUACACAACCUUCCUUUAAGUGGGGAAUAGCCCAGGGAAACUUGGAUUAAUACCCCGUAACAUAUAGAAGAGGCAUCUCUUUCAUAUUAUAGCUACGGCGCUUGAAGAUGGGUGUGCGGCUGAUUAGGUAGUUGGCGGGGUAACGGCCCACCAAGCCUACGAUCAGUAACUGGUGUGAGAGCACGACCAGUCACACGGGCACUGAGACACGGGCCCGACUCCUACGGGAGGCAGCAGUAAGGAAUAUUGGUCAAUGGACGCAAGUCUGAACCAGCCAUGCCGCGUGGAGGAUGAAGGUCCUCUGGAUUGUAAACUUCUUUUAUCUGGGACGAAAAAAGGGAAUUCUUUCUCACUUGACGGUACCAGAUGAAUAAGCACCGGCUAACUCCGUGCCAGCAGCCGCGGUAAUACGGAGGGUGCAAGCGUUAUCCGGAUUCACUGGGUUUAAAGGGUGCGUAGGUGGGCUAGUAAGUCAGUGGUGAAAUCUCCGGGCUUAACCCGGAAACUGCCAUUGAUACUAUUAGUCUUGAAUACCAUGGAGGUGAGCGGAAUAUGUCAUGUAGCGGUGAAAUGCUUAGAUAUGACAUAGAACACCAAUUGCGAAGGCAGCUCGCUACGCGGUUAUUGACACUGAGGCACGAAAGCGUGGGGAUCAAACAGGAUUAGAUACCCUAGUAGUCC
rnacentral:rRNA from 1 species